rnacentral:rRNA from 1 species
UGGGGAAUUUUGGACAAUGGGCGAAAGCCUGAUCCAGCAAUGCCGCGUGUGUGAAGAAGGCCUUCGGGUUGUAAAGCACUUUUGUCCGGAAAGAAAUCCUUGGCUCUAAUACAGUCGGGGGAUGACGGUACCGGAAGAAUAAGCACCGGCUAACUACGUGCCAGCAGCCGCGGUAAUACGUAGGGUGCAAGCGUUAAUCGGAAUUACUGGGCGUAAAGCGUGCGCAGGCGGUUUGCUAAGACCGAUGUGAAAUCCCCGGGCUCAACCUGGGAACUGCAUUGGUGACUGGCAGGCUAGAGUAUGGCAGAGGGGGGUAGAAUUCCACGUGUAGCAGUGAAAUGCGUAGAGAUGUGGAGGAAUACCGAUGGCGAAGGCAGCCCCCUGGGCCAAUACUGACGCUCAUGCACGAAAGCGUGGGGAGCAAACAGGAUUAGAUACCCUGGUAGUCCACGCCCUAAACGAUGUCAACUAGUUGUUGGGGAUUCAUUUCCUUAGUAACGUAGCUAACGCGUGAAGUUGACCGCCUGGGGAGUACGGUCGUAAGAUUAAAACUUAAAUGAAUUGACGGGGUCAUAGCUGUUUCCU